UGAGGAAUAUUGGUCAAUGGGCGUAAGCCUGAACCAGCCAAGUAGCGUGAGGGAAGACUGCCCUAUGGGUUGUAAACCUCUUUUGUGCGGGGAUAAAGUGUGGGACGUGUCCCAUAUUGCAGGUACCGCACGAAUAAGGACCGGCUAAUUCCGUGCCAGCAGCCGCGGUAAUACGGAAGGUCCGGGCGUUAUCCGGAUUUAUUGGGUUUAAAGGGAGCGCAGGCCGUCCUUUAAGCGUGCUGUGAAAUGCCGCGGCUCAACCGUGGCACUGCAGCGCGAACUGGAGGACUUGAGUACGCACGAGGUAGGCGGAAUUCGUGGUGUAGCGGUGAAAUGCUUAGAUAUCACGAAGAACUCCGAUUGCGAAGGCAGCUUACCGGAGCGCAACUGACGCUGAGGCUCGAAAGCGCGGGUAUCGAACAGGAUUAGAUACCCUGGUAGUCCGCGCGGUAAACGAUGGAUGCCCGCCGUUGGGAUUUGGAUUUCAGCGGCCAAGCGAAAGCGUUAAGCAUCCCACCUGGGGAGUACGCCGGCAACGGUGAAACUCAAAGGAAUUGACGGGGGCCCGCACAAGCGGAGGAACAUGUGGUUUAAUUCGAUGAUACGCGAGGAACCUUACCCGGGCUUGAAUUGCAGGAGAACGAUCCAGAGAUGGUGAGGCCCUUCGGGGCUCCUGUGAAGGUGCUGCAUGGUUGUCGUCAGCUCGUGCCGUGAGGUGUCGGCUCAAGUGCCAUAACGAGCGCAACCCCUGUCCAUAGUUGCCAUCAGGUCGUGCUGGGCACUCUGUGGAGACUGCCGCCGUAAGGUGUGAGGAAGGUGGGGAUGACGUCAAAUCAGCACGGCCCUUACGUCCGGGGCUACACACGUGUUACAAUGGGGCAUACAGCGAGUUGGAUGUGCGCAAGUACGUCCGGAUCAAUAAAGUGCCUCUCAGUUCGGACUGGGGUCUGCAACCCGACCCCACGAAGCUGGAUUCGCUAGUAAUCGCGCAUCAGCCAUGGCGCGGUGAAUACGUUCCC
rnacentral:rRNA from 1 species